rnacentral:rRNA from 1 species
GACGAACGCUGGCGGCGUGCUUAACACAUGCAAGUCGAACGGAAAGGCCCUGCUUUUGUGGGGUGCUCGAGUGGCGAACGGGUGAGUAACACGUGAGUAACCUGCCCUUGACUUUGGGAUAACUUCAGGAAACUGGGGCUAAUACCGGAUAGGAGCUCCUGCUGCAUGGUGGGGGUUGGAAAGUUUCGGCGGUUGGGGAUGGACUCGCGGCUUAUCAGCUUGUUGGUGGGGUAGUGGCUUACCAAGGCUUUGACGGGUAGCCGGCCGGAGAGGGUGACCGGGCGCCGGGAGAGGGGGACACGCCGGAUGGCCAGGGGGGAGGCGGGAUGAGGGUGAAGGGCGCACGGGGGCGCGGCCGGGCGCGGCGGGGCCGAGGGGGGGGGGACGGCCGGCGGUGGGGAAACCGCGUUGCCGUGUGAGGGAGGGUGGGGGACGGGAGAGGGAAAAGAAGAACCGGAGAAAUACGGGCCAGCGGCGGGGGUAAUAUGGGGCAGAGCACCCGUCUGCAC